rnacentral:misc_RNA from 1 species
AGCACAGCUAUAAGCGGAAACGCUACCUGUUGAUCACAGGAUAGUGAUAUAACUCAAACAGUGGACCCAUAUAUAUCAAUAGACAAGUGUAGAAGAGAGAAAACAUGGAUGAGGGGGUUACAUCCGAUGACAAGGAUCUUGACGCCCAGCUUGCAGACUGUCUCCAAGAAUCAAACAUCGACACUGCGCGUGCUCUGAUUGAACAAGGUGCUGACAUUAACAGAACAUUUGAAAAUGGCUGCAAUGUUCUGGACUCCGCUUAUGACGCAGCCGUAGCCUCAGGGAGGAUAGACAGCUUCAAUCUGCUGCUUCAAUCAGGCUGUCUUGACUUGGGUGGACCCGAGAUCUACAACCUGUGUUACUACUACUCAAAUCCCUGCCGUAAUGUGGAGGACAGAUAUGUCCAGUACAACCGCGAACGUGUGUUGGACUUCCACUCUGAGGUAGAAGCAGUUCCUGGGUGGAGUGAGGGUGAUGGCCGUCAAGAUAUCCCCCAUCAGCUGUUUGAUUUACUUGUUGACUCCGGUGCAGAUGUGAACCAGGUUCCGAAGUUAAAACCUGACAGUGACGUUUCCCACGCGGAAUGGCUGGAGAGGCUUGAGGAAGACCAUCUGUGGACUGUUCAGGGGACGGUUGAUGGCCAAGGAAGAACAGACGGUUAUGAGGACGCAGUGACUUUUUUUCAAACUGAGAUUUUCGACGAAAGUCUUGUGUUUAGUUUGUUAGACAAAGCUCAGUAUGAAAUACUGGAAAAACUACUGAGAACUCCUGGAUAUAACAUUAACCAGCCUUCCCUGCACUGUCCUCUGUACUUUGCUAUGUCCAAGUUAUCAUAUGACCCAUUCAAACUCCUGCUCCAGUAUGGCUGUCAGCCACGAUUCUGGUAUACAUCAGGAAAGGAGAAGAAACUGUUCAGUGAUGCAGAUUUUGCUGAUCCUAAUUAUUUAGACAAAGGAUGGCUGCAUUAUCUACUCAGUUUCAGAUGGACUUUCUGUAUGCCAGCAUCUGCCAUCAACCGGAAGAUCCGGUUGCUUGUGCAAGCUGGAUAUGACGUAGCGCAAUCCGAGUGGCUGUUUGACCCAGCAGUGCCAGUGUCGGACGGCCACAUGGAGGACCAUGAACAGCUUCUACCACUUAUAGAUUGGCUCCGUGAAAAGGCUUCAACACCAAGACCUUUGAAGGAGAUGUGUAGGGUAGUUGUGCGAUAUGCUAUCAAGGAUAACUUCAUCAACGGGAUUCACAAUUUACCAAUACCCGAACCUAUGAAGGGAUAUCUGAUGUUGAAACAAUAAACAGGACAAUAUAUCUGUAUCAUGCACAUGAACCUUGUACAGCACUAUCCCACAGAGCAAAUUAUAUUCCUUGAUCCACGGGGCAUUUGUCACUAAAUUUCUUAAGAAAACAAUGUGAAAUGCUGGACUGCCUCAUUGAUAGCAUCUGUGUGAAAUUUGGUGAUAGGGCAUUGAGGCACAAAGUAUGUGUGUUCUCCUUGCUGAUCUGUUUCUUUGUGCAUCCGAGUCAGAAUUUUGUUUUGGUUUGUCAAUGGCAAAAUCAAAACAAGGGUAUUUGGCCAAGAAGUUCAACUUAAGCUUCAGGUACAUCAAUGAUCUGCUAGAAAUAAGAGAAUAGUGAAACUGACUCAUCUGUUUCAUGUUAAGAUCUGUACAUUUAAGUUGAGCAAGACUUCAGCAGCUUUGAGUUUUAUGAUUGAGCAUGCUCUUUCUGCACAGAUUUCAAAGAGUGUCAUAUGACUCUUGCUCGGUUGUCUGUUCAGGGUCACAACCAGUCUUGGUUCUCAGGCACCCUCCGCAUCAUCAUAAAGUUUGCUGCACGUUUCGUUUUUAUUUCCCAAACAAAAAAAAUCCUUAAAUAUUCCAAAUAUAAGUCCAACGCUAGUCAAAAAUUGUAUUCCAGUGUUUUACUCAUCAAGGAAUACAUUUAUGUUGGGGGGCCCUUUCCCAGGUUGAUUGUACACAACUGUUUAUUUGGUAACAUACUUGUUUCAACACCCCCGUAAAAAAAAAGAGGAAAAAAGGACACCACCUCCCGCACUGUUAUAAAAAAAUAUUGCCUGAGACCCAAUUCUUUUAUUUUUUAAGGCUUAGCAAAGUUUUUGAAACUUUUAUGGCAGACAUUUCCAAAUUUGAUGCAUCAGUGACGUAAAUGAUGUCCAAUGUAAUUCCCUAUUUUGACUUGUACCAUAUGUUCCCAGGAUUUUUCAGGUGAUCAAUUGACUUACUUUUGCAUGUGUUUGUGACUAAUGCCUACGAUGAGGAAGAAUACGCCUACUUUUCCGCAAACACCUGGUACAUUAAAUGGACAAAGGUACCAAGGUACCAUAUUGGACUUUUGUGCUGUGCCUUAUUUCGACAACCAUGCACUUGCCACACAUCCUGUCUUCAUGGACGAUAAUACCCAACCCUACCGAACACAAGCUUUGACUGACCAUCUCCAGAAUAAUGCCAUUGAGACUCUAUAUAUAUUGGCCAUCUUGAAGACCAGACCUGAAUCCAAAUUGAGCAUCUAUUGGAUCAUAUGGGACGUAGGGUUAGAGCCAUGGACUCUCCAGUACAGAAUGUCAAAGAAUUGACCUAGGCAUUGCAUGAGGAAUGGCAACACAUCCCUCAGUUGAAGAUCAGACAUCUGAUUUUGAGCUUGAGCAGACAUUUUGCGGAUGUGAUCUGUACACAGGGUGGCUACAACGGAUACUGACUUCAACGUUCAACUGUUGAUCAUUUAACUGUGACGUGGGUAUAAACGUUACUAAGUCACAUACAUGUUGAUUUGUCCAUCUCAUUCCUGACAGUCACCAUACUCAUUCUAUCUCUAUUUAACAGUUCUUGUAGUAGCUGGCAAAUGAAGUUGCUCUUUUUCUUUGCAAGGGCUUAUUUUCGCUAUUUUUCAUUAAAUCUACAUCUUUUUUUUACAUUAAGUUACACUAUUGAUUGCUUUUGUUUGGCUUUCCAGCGUCUCCUUAUCUAUCUAUUGUAUGAUUUUAAAAAAAUUCUUGGGGUGCGAAAUAAUUAACAAGGUGUAUUGUAGAAGGAAUCAUACACGCUGUGAUAUAAAUAACAUACUGCUCAAAGUGGCGUUAAACGAAACUCACACUCUCAACCCCUGACUCACUAAGAUUUAGAAAGUGGGGUACCACACGUUCGCAUAUGAUCCUUGGGUACAAUGUGUGAAGCUCAUUUCUGAUGUCCCCAGCCGUGAUAUUGCUGGAAUAUUGCCAAAAGCGGUGUAAAACCAUACUCACUCACUCACUCACUCACUCACUCACUCACUCACUCACUCACGCAUAGAAUCAGUCAGCCUAAAGGAAUUUAUUGUUUAAAAAUAAAUAUUAAUAUUAAAGA